rnacentral:rRNA from 1 species
GAUAAAACGCUGGCGGCGCACAUAAGACAUGCAAGUCGAACGGAAGUCGUUAUAAAAAGGAUUGAAGAUUUAUCUGAUUGAUAUUUUAUAACAAUGGCUUUAGUGGCGGACUGGUGAGUAACGCGUAAGCAAUCUACCUAUUAGAGGGGAAUAACAAUGAGAAAUCAUUGCUAAUACCGCAUAAUGCAGUUGGGCCGCAUGGCUCUGACUGCCAAAGAUUUAUCGCUCUGAGAUGGCCUCGCGUCUGAUUAGCUAGUUGGGUGGGGUAACGGCCCACCAAGGCGACGAUCAGUAGCCGGACUGAGGAGGUUGGGCCGGCCACAUUGGGACUGAGACACGGCCCAG